rnacentral:rRNA from 1 species
AUACGGAGGGGGCUAGCGUUGUUCGGAAUUACUGGGCGUAAAGCGCACGUAGGCGGAUUAAAAAGUUAGAGGUGAAAUCCCAGGGCUUAACCCUGGAACUGCCUUUAAAACUAGUAGUCUAGAGUUCGAGAGAGGUGAGUGGAAUUCCAAGUGUAGAGGUGAAAUUCGUAGAUAUUUGGAGGAACACCAGUGGCGAAGGCGGCUCACUGGCUCGAUACUGACGCUGAAGUGCGAAAGCGUGGGGAGCAAACAGGAUUAGAAACCCCGGUAGUCC